rnacentral:rRNA from 1 species
CUCGAUGUCGGCUCAUCACAUCCUGGGGCUGAAGCAGGUCCCAAGGGUAUGGCUGUUCGCCAUUUAAAGUGGUACGCGAGCUGGGUUUAGAACGUCGUGAGACAGUUCGGUCCCUAUCUGCCGUGGGCGUUUGAGAAUUGAGGGGAGCUGCUCCUAGUACGAGAGGACCGGAGUGGACGUACCACUGGUGUUCGGGUUGUCAUGCCAAUGGCAUUGCCCGGUAGCUACGUACGGAACAGAUAACCGCUGAAAGCAUAUAAGCGGGAAGCUGGCCCCAAGAUGAGUUCUCACUAGAUCUUUAAGAUCUCUGUAGGUUCGUCGAAGACUACGACGUUGAUAGGCUGGGUGUUGAAGUGCAGCAAUGUAUGAAGCUAACCAGUACUAAUGAACCGUGAGGCUUGACCAU